rnacentral:tRNA from 1 species
GGCGCCAUGGCUUAGUUGGUUUAAAGCGCCUGUCUAGUAAACAGGAGAUCCCGAGUUCGAAUCUCGGUGGUGCCU